GAUGAACGCUGACAGAAUGCUUAACACAUGCAAGUCAACUUGAAUUUGGGUUUUUAACUUAGAUUUGGGUGGCGGACGGGUGAGUAACGCGUAAAGAACUUGCCUCGCAGCUAGGGACAACAUUUAGAAAUGAAUGCUAAUACCUGAUAUUAUGAUUUUAAGGCAUCUUAGAAUUAUGAAAGCUAUAAGCACUGUGAGAGAGCUUUGCGUCCCAUUAGCUAGUUGGAGAGGUAACAGCUCACCAAGGCGAUGAUGGGUAGCCGGCCUGAGAGGGUGAACGGCCACAAGGGGACUGAGACACGGCCCUUACUCCUACGGGAGGCAGCAGUGGGGAAUAUUGGACAAUGGACCGAGAGUCUGAUCCAGCAAUUCUGUGUGCACGAUGAAGUUUUUCGGAAUGUAAAGUGCCUUCAGUUGGGAAGAAAGAAAUGACGGUACCAACAGAAGAAGUGACGGCUAAAUACGUGCCAGCAGCCGCGGUAAUACGUAUGUCACGAGCGUUAUCCGGAUUUAUUGGGCGUAAAGCGCGUCUAGGUGGUUAUGUAAGUCUGAUGUGAAAAUGCAGGGCUCAACUUUGUAUUGCGUUGGAAACUGUAUAACUAGAGUACUGAAGAGGUAAGCGGAACUACAGGUGUAGAGGUGAAAUUCGUAGAUAUUUGUAGGAAUGCCGAUGGGGAAGCCAGCUUACUGGACAGAUACUGACGCUAAAGCGCGAAAGCGUGGGUAGCAAACAGG
rnacentral:rRNA from 1 species